UACGAGGGGGGCGAGCGUUGUUCGGAAUUAUUGGGCGUAAAGGGCGCGUAGGCGGUGCGGUAAGUCACCUGUGAAACCUCUGGGCUCAACUCAGAGCCUGCAGGCGAAACUGCCGUGCUGGAGUGUGGGAGAGGUGCGUGGAAUUCCCGGUGUAGUGGUGAAAUGCGUAGAUAUCGGGAGGAACACCAGUGGCGAAGGCGACUUCCUGGCCUGUUCUUGACGCUGAGGCGCGAAAGCUAGGGGAGCAAACAGG
rnacentral:rRNA from 1 species